rnacentral:rRNA from 1 species
AAUUAUAAUUUAGGGAAAAAGUUUUCAUUUUUUAUUUUUUUACUGUGAGAGGGGAAUCAUGGUAAUAAAUUAAAAAAUAAAAAGUUGUACCUUUUGUAUCAGGGUUAAUUAAAUAUUUAUUUUAGAAUAUUAUCUCGAAAAGGAAAGAUUUAAUAUAUUUAAAAAUAUUAAUGUAUCAAAAUUAAUUUAUAUUUUAUUUUAGGUUUGAAACAAAUAUCGAUUUUCUAUAUCUAGUUAUUUUAGGGUUAAUUAAAUUAAGUUAAUUUAAGUGAGGGGACAUUUAACUUAACAAUUUUUUUAAGGAUAAGCUUAUAAAAUUAAUAAAUAGUAUAUAUUAUUUUGUUUAAUUUGUUUAUUUAGAAAUAGUAAUCAUUAAUUUGUAAAAAUUAAUUAAAUUUUAAUAAUUCUUUAAAAAACUUUUAUAGGGGAUAAAAUUAUUUAAAAGAAUUAUUAAAUUAAAUUAAUAAUGAUUAAAUUAGUAGAAUAAAAAAUAUUUGAUAAGAAUUCGGCAACACUUAUUUUCAGCUGUUUAUCAAAAACAUUUCUGGGGGAGAAAUAUUUUUGGUAUAUCCUGCUCUAUGCUUUUAUGUCAAUAGCUGCAGUAUUUUGACUGUACAAAGGUAGCAUAAUAAUUAGUCUCUUAAAUAGAGGCUUGUAUGAAUGGAUGAAUGUAAAAUAUGCUUUUUAAUGAAUAUGAGGUUUUAAUUUUAUUUUUAAGUAAAAAAGCUUAAAUAUCAAAAAGGGACGAGAAGACCCUAUAGAAUUUAAAAAGAAUAAUUAUCUAUCUUUUUUGAUUGGGGUGAUUAAAAAAUGUAACGUUUUUUUAAUUUUUCACUUAUAAGUGAUUGUUUGAUCCUAUAUUUAGAAAGUAAAAUAAAAUUACCUUAGGGAUAACAGGAUAAUUUUUCUUUUAAGUACAUAUUUAUAGAAAAGAUUAUUACCUCGAUGUUGAAUUAAAGUUAUAUUUAAAUGUAGAAGUUUAAAUAUUUAGUCUGUUCGACUUUAAAAUUUUACAUGAUUUGAGUUCAAACCGGCGUAAGCCAGGUUGGUUUCUAUCUUUUUUCAAAAAUAUUGAAUUAGUACGAAAGGAUUGUUUAGAUAAAUUUUUAUUUGACCGAUGUGAUUUCUAUUAACUUUGU